GACAGAGGGUGCAAACGUUGUUCGGAAUUACUGGGCGUAAAGCGUGUGUAGGCGGCUACAUAAGUCGGAUGUGAAAGCCCCGGGCUCAACCCGGGAAGUGCACUCGAUACUGGCAGGCUGGAGGGAGGUAGGGGCAGAUGGAACUUCCGGUGGAGCGGUGAAAUGCGUAGAUAUCGGAAGGAACGCCGGUGGCGAAAGCGAUCUGCUGGAUCUCUUCUGACGCUGAUGCGCGAAAGCCAGGGGAGCAAACGGG
rnacentral:rRNA from 1 species